ACUCUUGUUUGGUUCACAAGCAUGAUGAUUCAGUAUUCACACCACUGUAUGAUAUAUACCUCCCCCAAACCUUAAGACAUUGGGACAUUACUGCUCUGACG